GAUGAAGAACGCAGCGAAAUGCGAUACUUGGUGUGAAUUGCAGAAUCCCGUGAACCAUCGAGUCUUUGAACGCAAGUUGCGCCCGAAGCCAUUAGGCCGAGGGCACGCCUGCCUGGGCGUCACACGUCGUUGCCCCCCCAUCUACUCCUUCGGGAUUGCGGGGGGCGGAUGAUGGCCUCCCGUGCGCCUCGUCGCGCGGUUGGCAUAAAUGCCAAGUCCUCGGCGACACACGCCACGACAAUCGGUGGUUGCGAAACCUCGGUUGCCCGUCGUGUGCGGUCGUCGCGCAUCGAGGGCUCGAAAAAAUUGCCGGGCUCCGGCUCGGCUUUCGACGCGACCCCAGGUCAGGCGGGGUUACCCGCUGAAUUUAAGCAUAUCAAUAAGCGGAGGA
rnacentral:misc_RNA from 1 species